rnacentral:rRNA from 1 species
GCUAAGAAAUGCAGUCGAGCGAGCUUGCCUAGAUGAUUUUAGUGCUUGCACUAAAUGAAACUAGAUACAAGCGAGCGGCGGACGGGUGAGUAACACGUGGGUAACCUGCCCAAGAGACUGGGAUAACACCUGGAAACAGAUGCUAAUACCGGAUAACAACACUAGACGCAUGUCUAAAGUUUGAAAGAUGGUUCUGCUAUCACUCUUGGAUGGACCUGCGGUGCAUUAGCUAGUUGGUAAGGUAACGGCUUACCAAGGCAAUGAUGCAUAGCCGAGUUGAGAGACUGAUCGGCCACAUUGGGACUGAGACACGGCCCAAACUCCUACGGGAGGCAGCAGUAGGGAAUCUUCCACAAUGGACGAAAGUCUGAUGGAGCAACGCCGCGUGAGUGAAGAAGGGUUUCGGCUCGUAAAGCUCUGUUGGUAGUGAAGAAAGAUAGAGGUAGUAACUGGCCUUUAUUUGACGGUAAUUACUUAGAAAGUCACGGCUAACUACGUGCCAGCAGCCGCGGUAAUACGUAGGUGGCAAGCGUUGUCCGGAUUUAUUGGGCGUAAAGCGAGUGCAGGCGGUUCAAUAAGUCUGAUGUGAAAGCCUUCGGCUCAACCGGAGAAUUGCAUCAGAAACUGUUGAACUUGAGUGCAGAAGAGGAGAGUGGAACUCCAUGUGUAGCGGUGGAAUGCGUAGAUAUAUGGAAGAACACCAGUGGCGAAGGCGGCUCUCUGGUCUGCAACUGACGCUGAGGCUCGAAA